GAUGAACGCUGGCGGCGUGCCUAAUACAUGCAAGUCGAGCGGACAGACGAUGAGCUUGCGCCGCGGACGUUAGCGGCGGACGUGUGAGUAACACGUGUAUAACCUACCUAUAAUACGGGUAUAACUUCGGGAAACCGGAUCUAAUACCGUAUAAUCUAUUGCAGCGCAUGGUUCAUUGGUAAAAUACGGUUUUUCUGUCACGUAUAGAUGGUUCUGCGCCGCAUUGGCUAGUUGGUAAGGUAACGGGUUAUUAAGGGUACGAUGCGUAGCCGACGGGAGAGACGGAUAGCCGACCUUGGAGCGUGACCGGGGACAAGACGCCUGAGGGAGGGAGCAGAAGGCAAUGUUACGCAAUAGGCGGAAGCAUGACGGAGCAACGCGGAGUGAGUGAUGACGGCGUCCGGAGCGUAAAGCCGUGUUAUUGGGGAAGAACAACUGUGUAAGGAAAUAUGCACGUAUUGACGGUAACUAAUAAGAAAGCACCGGCUAACUACGUG
rnacentral:rRNA from 1 species